AGGACGAACGCUGGCGGCGUGCUUAACACAUGCAAGUCGAGCGGAAAGGCCCUUCGGGGUACUCGAGCGGCGAACGGGUGAGUAACACGUGAGCAACCUGCCCCUGGCUCUGGGAUAGCCUUCGGAAAACGGGGAUUAAUACCGGAUAUUCACUGCUUCCUGCAUGGGGGGUGGUGGAAAGUUUUUCGGCUGGGGUGGGGCUCGCGGCCUAUCAGCUUGUUGGGGGGUGACGGCCCACCAAGGCGACGACGGGUAGCCGGCCUGAGAGGGCGACCGGCCACACUGGGACUGAGACACGGCCCAGACUCCUACGGGAGGCAGCAGUGGGAAUAUUGCGCAAUGGGCGGAAGCCUGACGCAGCGACGCCGCGUGCGGGAUGAAGGCCUUCGGGUUGUAAACCGCUUUCACCAGGGACGAAGCGAGAGUGACGGUACCGUGGGGAAGAAGGCGCCGGCUAACGUACGUGCCAGCAGCCGC
rnacentral:rRNA from 1 species